CAAAUACACAGUUUUUUUGCUAUUCGAAUCAGUUAGUUCACUCUAGUUUUUAUGCGGUUCCUGCGCUAGCAGAAACUCCUAGCAGACUGCGCAGUAGACUAGGAGGAAAAUGUUGCUGUUGCAAGAUUUAAAAUAUUCCGAAAGCUGAAAAUUAAAUUCAUAAAUGGUAAAAUCCUUUAUGUACACACUUUAUAAAAUUUGAAAAAUAAUAUUUUCUAAUUAUUGAUUGAAUAUAUUCAAACAAUUAACACAACUCUCUCAAUUGAUGACAUUUGGCAACAGUGAGUAGACUUGUAUUCCAAACUCCAAACCAAACAUAACCACAUAACCUUAUAAAAAUUUCAGUUGUUAAAAAUGUUAAAUGAGUUAUUUAUUAUUGUUUUCUUAUAUUUUGCAAUUGUUAAGUUGGUUUACUUCGAAUUUAAUAGGCAUUAUUUACCAAAGAAUAUGCAUUACUUUGGUAUCUCUCCAGUUUUCUACAAGAAGUUUGGUGAUUUUGAAUUGGGAUUAUGAUGAAUUCAACCCAAAGGAAAUAAUGUGUACUAAUAUUUGAUGUGGAAAAAUUCCAGACACCAUAAAAAGUUGAGUUUCUUCCUGUUCCCAUGGAUGAAAAUGGGUUUGCAGAAUGAAAAGAAAUUGUUCAAUGUAAUAAACUUUCUAUGAACAGUCCUCAAUAUUGUUACAUUAACUUUGAAAUAUGCACUUUACAUUCUGAGGAGCAGGCCUUUGCAGAAAUGCUGAAAUGCCGUUGAAAAACAAUGCAAAAUAAAAUAAACAAAAUACAUCUUGAGAUUAAACAUUCCAGUUGAAGGUGUGUUCUUUCGUAAACUGGAAUGAUAAUUUUGUAAUUCUGUAGGCACAUCUAUUGAGAAGUUACAACCAGUGGCAAAGUGCCUCAAGGGAAUCUAUGUAUGAUAUUAUAAUUGGAGGGACAUCUCAUCUGAAGGAAUUACAAUUAUUUGCCAGUAUGCCAAAUGAAUUUUCAACAUCAAUCAUACUUUCGUGAAUUUAUUGAUGAAAAUAAAACUAGGUACAUGAUUUAUUAUUUACUUCCAAGGGAUUCUAAGAUACUAUGUGUAAAAAGUCCAAUAUGCAGUGAUGAGCGUGCUAAUAACCCGCAAAAUAUGGGAUAUAACGCUAAAGAUGGGAAACAUGGGAUGCUGUCUGAAGUAAAAAGAGAUGAAACUUCUAGAGGUGGAAAUUAUCGAUAUAAACAUAUAAAUUAAUAUAUAUUACAUAGUUUAUUAUUAUAUAUAUAUUACAUAGUUUCCCACCUUUAGACGUAUCAGAUGAGUAUGACAACUGUCACUAUGACAGGAGAAUUUUAUAAAAUACUCCUGUCACGGACGUCUAAAGGUGGGAAACUAUGUAAUGUUAUUGUUGACUAAGAGUGUUAACCUGCUAACUCCAUUUUUCACUGUGAGUGAUAUUGGGGUAGUUUCUAGGUCUGUGUACCUUCAUACGCUGUCCCACAAGCCCGCUGGUUCCACUGUAGUUUAGAGAUAGUUAUUUCUAAACUACAUUGGUGUCAGCGGGUUUGUGGGGUGGUGUAUGAAAGUACACAGACCCAGAAACCAGCCCAAUAUCACUCAAAGUGAAAAAUGGAGUCAGCAGGUUAAAACUCUUAUCUGAUGUUAUGUUAAUUUAUUCGUUUAUAACGAUAAUUUCCACUUCUACCAGUUUCAUCUUUUUUUAUCUCACAAGUUAAUGUUUUCCAUCUUUUUCCAUCUGUUCUCCAUGAAAUUUAUGAGUUCAUUUUUUGUACCUAUUAAACUUUAUUUUAAGGAUGAAUUUGAAAUGCAUUUAGGGAAUA